rnacentral:rRNA from 2 species
UGGGGGAUAUUGCACAAUGGGGGAAACCCUGAUGCAGCAACGCCGCGUGAAGGAAGAAGGUCUUCGGAUUGUAAACUUCUGUUCUUGGUGACGAAUUUUGACGGUAGCCAAGUAGAAAGCCACGGCUAACUACGUGCCAGCAGCCGCGGUAAUACGUAGGUGGCGAGCGUUGUCCGGAAUUACUGGGUGUAAAGGGUGCGCAGGCGGGACUGCAAGUUGGAUGUGAAAUACCGAGGCUUAACCUCGGGGCUGCAUCCAAAACUGUAGUUCUUGAGUGAAGUAGAGGUAGGCGGAAUUCCGAGUGUAGCGGUGAAAUGCGUAGAUAUUCGGAGGAACACCAGUGGCGAAGGCGGCCUACUGGGCUUUAACUGACGCUGAGGCACGAAAGUGUGGGGAGCAAACAGG